rnacentral:lncRNA from 1 species
CUCUGCCUUCAUCAAGGAAAAAAAAGAAUAAAACAGAAAGACUGUGACCUUGUUGGUCAAGCAGCUUGUAAUUUCUCCAGGCCAGAGGAGGAGAAACAAUGCAUCAAACUUCCUGAAGAGGCACUUGCCCUUGAACAUGAUGCCAGCAAUGUGACCGGAAGCAUAAACUGGGGGAAGCAAAGAGUGAGUCCCAGGCAUGUGCAGGCGAGAUGCUCUGGGGAACCACUAAGGGGCCAAGGUAGGAGAUGGUUCACUUUGGCUGUUUUGGUUUCUAUCAUUUAAAAAUAUUGGAGGUUCAUUUUGGUGUUAAUGUGCAAGAACCUUCAUUUGUUCUAUUGGCUGGGAAAAAAACAAAACAAAACACCCACGCCCGUCUCACUUAACAGUAGAGAGGUUUUUGGCAGUCACUAAAUGGUCCAGUGCUAUAGCCUCAGUGCUAUAGCCUCAAUGAAGACAUUUCUGUUAAUACAUGUAUGCCACUUAGAGUCGCAUUCAUGUUCUACAUUUCAUUACGAACCUUCCAACAGCUCAUGAGAUGAGUAGAGCAAGGAUUAUUACUCUAUUUUCAAAUGAAAAAACAUGAGGUUCGUGAGGCUAACAGAAUUUUCAGAAAAAUAGUAGGAAAUUCCAAGCAUGCAGAGGAGUGCAGAAUGGGGGUUGUGAAGGAAUCUGGAACAGUAAGAUACCUUCAUGGUUAGAGAGCAGGGCAUGUGGGGUGAGGAGACAGCUGGAGGGCUCAGACAUCUGAAGAGGUUCCUGGAGUGGAGGAGGUGAGUGGGGAUGCUAGCCAAAUGGGAAGACAAUGAGGGAAAUCUGUGGUUUGUGAACAAGGUUCCCUCCUGAAGCCUGAACAUUCAGUAGGAGAUGGAUUUUGGUAAAACUGUGUCUCCUCACACCAAUGACUGCUCACCACAGUGAUGCUUCAUAGUAAUACAAUGAAUGAACUCUGUCCUCCACAGUAAAGAGUGGAGGCCACUGAGGUAGUGAGUUGUUGCAUCACGGGCCUGACUGUUGAAUGAGUUCCCCCUACACAAGGCAGCACUUUGGGAAGUUGGCUCUGUCAGGCAUGGGGAGGCCUGGGCUGGUGGAUGUGACCGUUGGGUUGUUAUCGUGCUGUGGUGAGCUUUGAGAGGAGGAACUUGGCACCUCCAGACUCCCCAGCAGGAGGCCUGUCCUCAGCUAGUCUGACACAUCACAUUUGCUUUGGGAUUUGCACACAUAAAAUGAAUCUCCCCAGCGACCCUCUCCCCAGAGCCUCAUCAAUUAGAACUGCUUUUGUCCU